rnacentral:rRNA from 1 species
GGGUUGUGAGGUUAAGCGACUAAGCGUACACGGUGGAUGCCUAGGCAAUCAGAGGCGAUGAAGGACGUGCUAAUCUGCGAUAAGCGUCGGUAAGGUGAUAUGAACCGUUACAACCGACGAUUUCCGAAUGGGGAAACCCAGUGCAAUUCGUUGCACUAUCGUUUGAUGAAUACAUAGUCAAACGAAGCGAACCGGGGGAACUGAAACAUCUCAGUACCCCGAGGAAAAGAAAUCAACCGAGAUUCCCCUAGUAGCGGCGAGCGAACGGGGAGCAGCCCAGAGUCUUAAUCAGCAUUAGCAUCAGGAGAACGGUCUGGAAAGUCCGGCAGUAAAGGGUGAUAGCCCCGUAUCCGAAGGUGUUAGUGUUGUGAACUCGACGAGUAGGGCGGGACACGUGUUAUCCUGUCUGAAUAUGGGGGGACCAUCCUCCAAGGCUAAAUACUCCUGAUUGACCGAUAGUGAACCAGUACCGUGAGGGAAAGGCGAAAAGAACCCCGGCGAGGGGAGUGAAAUAGAACCUGAAACCGUGUACGUACAAGCAGUGGGAGCCUUGAUUUAUCAGGGUGACUGCGUACCUUUUGUAUAAUGGGUCAGCGACUUAUAUUCUGUAGCAAGGUUAACCGUAUAGGGGAGCCGUAGGGAAACCGAGUCUUAACUGGGCGAAUAAGUUGCAGGGUAUAGACCCGAAACCCGGUGAUCUAGCCAUGGGCAGGUUGAAGGUUGGGUAACACUAACUGGAGGACCGAACCGACUAAUGUUGAAAAAUUAGCGGAUGACUUGUGGCUGGGGGUGAAAGGCCAAUCAAACCGGGAGAUAGCUGGUUCUCCCCGAAAGCUAUUUAGGUAGCGCCUCGUGAACUCAUCUUCGGGGGUAGAGCACUGUUUCGACUAGGGGGUCAUCCCGACUUACCAACUCGAUGCAAACUACGAAUACCGAAGAAUGUUAUCACGGGAGACACACGGCGGGUGCUAACGUUCGUCGUGAAGAGGGAAACAACCCAGACCGCCAGCUAAGGUCCCAAAGUCAUAGUUAAGUGGGAAACGAAGUGGGAAGGCUCAGACAGCCAGGAUGUUGGCUUAGAAGCAGCCAUCAUUUAAAGAAAGCGUAAUAGCUCACUGGUCGAGUCGGCCUGCGCGGAAGAUGUAACGGGGCUAAACUAUGCACCGAAGCUGCGGCAGCGAACGUAUCACUUAAACUGAUUAAGUGAUACUCAAAUGUAUCAAAACGAUUGACGGAGCGAAGCGACGUCAAUGCGUCCAACAAAGUCGAGGCGGAAACGUCAGGCAGUCAGUUUAAGGAUACGUUCGUUGGGUAGGGGAGCGUUCUGUAAGCCUGUGAAGGUGUACUGUGAGGUAUGCUGGAGGUAUCAGAAGUGCGAAUGCUGACAUAAGUAACGAUAAUGCGGGUGAAAAACCCGCACGCCGGAAGACCAAGGGUUCCUGUCCAACGUUAAUCGGGGCAGGGUGAGUCGACCCCUAAGGCGAGGCAGAAAUGCGUAGUCGAUGGGAAACGGGUUAAUAUUCCCGUACUGGUGAUAAUUGCGAUGGGGGGACGGAGAAGGCUAGGCUAUCCGGGCGACGGUUGUCCCGGUUUAAGAAUGUAGGCAGGUGAAUUAGGCAAAUCCGGUUCACUACAUGCUGAGGUUCGAUGACGAGUCACUACGGUGAUGAAGUAGCUCAUGCCCCGCUUCCAGGAAAAGCCUCUAAGCUCUAGAUUAUCAUUAAUCGUACCCCAAACCGACACAGGUGGUCAGGUAGAGAAUACUCAGGCGCUUGAGAGAACUCGGGUGAAGGAACUAGGCAAAAUGGUGCCGUAACUUCGGGAGAAGGCACGCUGGCGCUAGGUGAAGUCCCUCGCGGAUGGAGCUGAAGCCAGUCGCAGAUACCAGCUGGCUGCAACUGUUUAUUAAAAACACAGCACUGUGCAAACACGAAAGUGGACGUAUACGGUGUGACGCCUGCCCGGUGCUGGAAGGUUAAUUGAUGGGGUUAUCCGUAAGGAGAAGCUCUUGAUCGAAGCCCCAGUAAACGGCGGCCGUAACUAUAACGGUCCUAAGGUAGCGAAAUUCCUUGUCGGGUAAGUUCCGACCUGCACGAAUGGCGUAAUGAUGGCCAGGCUGUCUCCACCCGAGACUCAGUGAAAUUGAACUCGCUGUGAAGAUGCAGUGUACCCGCGGCAAGACGGAAAGACCCCGUGAACCUUUACUAUAGCUUGACACUGAACAUUGAGCCUUGAUGUGUAGGAUAGGUGGGAGGCUUCGAAGCGUGGACGCCAGUCUGCGUGGAGCCAACCUUGAAAUACCACCCUUUAAUGUUUGAUGUUCUAACGUUGCCCCAUUAUCUGGGGUGCGGACAGUGUCUGGUGGGUAGUUUGACUGGGGCGGUCUCCUCCCAAAGAGUAACGGAGGAGCACGAAGGUUGGCUAAGCAUGGUCGGACAUCAUGCGGUUAGUGCAAAGGCAUAAGCCAGCUUGACUGCGAGAGUGACGGCUCGAGCAGGUACGAAAGUAGGUCUUAGUGAUCCGGUGGUUCUGAAUGGAAGGGCCAUCGCUCAACGGAUAAAAGGUACUCCGGGGAUAACAGGCUGAUACCGCCCAAGAGUUCAUAUCGACGGCGGUGUUUGGCACCUCGAUGUCGGCUCAUCACAUCCUGGGGCUGAAGUAGGUCCCAAGGGUACGGCUGUUCGCCGUUUAAAGUGGUACGCGAGCUGGGUUUAGAACGUCGUGAGACAGUUCGGUCCCUAUCUGCCGUGGGCGUUGGAAGAUUGAAAGGGGCUGCUCCUAGUACGAGAGGACCGGAGUGGACGCACCACUGGUGUUCGGGUUGUCAUGCCAAUGGCAUUGCCCGGUAGCUAAGUGCGGAAGAGAUAACCGCUGAAAGCAUCUAAGCGGGAAACUUGCCUUGAGAUGAGUCUUCCCUGACCCUUUAAGGGUCCUAAAGGAACGUUUAAGACUAAGACGUUGAUAGGUUGGGUGUGUAAGCAUAGCGAUAUGUUGAGCUAACCAAUACUAAUGAACCGUGAGGCUUAACCUGACAACACCGAAGGUGUUUUAG